GCCGCGCCAUCCCACGUCCAGCUCGCCACGCCCUUGAUCGCCGCCAUGCACGCCUGAUUCAUGCCAUCCCACGAAUCGUGCAAAGCUACCUAGUCUACCUAGGUGCUAAGGAACCGGUCAAGGCACGAACACCCUCGUGCUCUCGCCAUUUAUUCUCUGAACCUGAAACAGAAACGAUAACUAACAGCGACAGGAUUACAAUGUCAACAAUUCUCCCCUUAAUCCUGGCGCCCAGAAGAAACCUCCAUGACACCAAGCAUCAGUCUCAUCUCCAGGAACUUGACGCGGCCCAGUGCCUUGGUUAGAAUGUCAGCAAGUUGGCCAUCCGUGCUGACAUGCUCGAUGUCCACCUUGCCUUCCUCAAUGCACUCACGAAUGAAGUGAAAUCGAAGAUCGAUAUGCUUGCUUCGUUCGCGGUGCACAGGGUUCUUUGCCAGCUCAAUCGCAGACCCGUUGUCCACCAACAGUUUCACCGUCUUUGGUGGCUGUCCAAGCAGUUCGCCCAGAAGCCUGCUCAGCCAAAUAGCCUGACAUGCCGCUUUGGAAGCUGCAGUGUACUCAGCUUCGCAAGAUGAGAGGGCAACCACAACUUGCUUCUGAGAAGUCCAUGUGAUGAUGCUGGAGUCGAGGAAGAAAACCACCCCAGUUGUGCUCUUCCUGUCGUCGACAUCCCCAACGAGAUCGCUAUCACUGAAUGCCACCAGUUUGGGUUUGCCACCGGAGCUCUCCUUGUACGUGCAGCCAUACCCAAUUGUGCCCUUGACGUAGCGCAGGAUCUGCUUCACCGCUGCCCAGUGUGACGCCGUGGGUGCUUGCAUGUACCUGCUCACCAUCCCGACGGCAUGAGUGAUGUUAGGACGGGUAUUGCACAAGUAACGCAGACUACCCACGAUGCUCCGGUAGUCUGUUGCGUUCACUGCAUCUCCACCUCCUCCCUUGCACAGCUUGAGCCGGUUCUCCAUCGGCGUGUGGCAGGAGUUGCAGUCUGUCAUUCCUGUCGCUUCCAGAAUCUUGCGAGCAUAUGCGCUCUGGCAGAUGGAGAUCGUGCCCGCCUCUUGCUUGACUUCGAUGCCCAGGUAGUAGCUCAGGAGGCCGAGAUUGCUCAUCGCAAACAGACUGUGCAUCUGUUGCUUAAACGUGGCGAUGUCGUUGUCGUCCGUGCCCGUGAUGAUCAGGUCAUCCACAUAGAUGCCGACGAGCAGCGUCGACUUGCCCGUCGUACUCCUGAACACGACAUGCUCCAGGGGGCUCCUCUCGAACCCGAGCGAUGCCAGGGAGGCAUCCAACUUGGCGUACCAUGCCCGUGGAGCUUGAUGGAGUCCGUACAGGGCCUUGCGCAGCCGGAGCACCUUGUGCUCCUCCCUGGGGACGAUGUAGCCACGCGGUUGGUGCACGUAGACCUCCUCCUUGAUAUCGCCGUUGAGAAACGCCGAUUUGACGUCCAUGUGGUGCACUUGCCACCCACAGCGAGCGGCAAGCGCGAGCAGCAGACGCACAGUCUCCAUGCGCGGCACCGGUGCAAAGACCUCGUCGAAGUCCACUCCCUGGCGUUGUGCGUAGCCCUUGGCGACAAGUCGCUCCUUGUGCUUGAGCACAUGACCUCUAGGAUCCUUUUUUACCUUGAAGACCCACUUCAGCCCAAUGGCCUUGUGGCCGGAAGGGAGCGUGGCGAGCUCCCACGUUUCAUUGUUGUGGAUGGAAGAGAGCUCCGCGUCCAUGGCCUCCUUCCAGCUUGCCUCGUUCAGAGCCACAUCCACAGAUGGAGGCUCCUCCGCGGCAACCAAGCACAAGUCCAGGUCGAACUCCUCUGCAUCGGCUUUCAUGACGUAGUCGUUGUAGAUGGGGUUGGGCUUGAGGAUGCCGUCACGCGCUCUCGUGAUCAUCGGGUGCUGUGGCCUUGGUGGGGUCGGUGAAGCCGCCCUCGUCCCCGUUCCAGCAGAAGCUGACGAGGAUGCAGUUGCAGUCCAUGGCGUAGUCCAGUCCGCGGCAGGACUUGGUGGCGGCGUGCGGCUGCUUCGUGCCGUGGUUUCCUGCCCGACAGAGAUUUGGGCUGGUGUACUCUGCCCGGCGGGGAGAUCAGCUGCCGUGGCUGCCGUGGCCGCCGAGUGCGUGAAAACCCCGACGUCGAACGACACCGCUUCUACCGUCUCUCCAGUCUUGUCCCAGUCCCACCGUGCGCCUUCGUCGAACACGACGUCCCGCGAGACAUGCACGCGGUUCUUGACAGGGUCGUAGACGCGGUACGCCGCCGAGCCCGGCUCGUACCCGAAGAGUACCAUGGGUAUGAUGCGAUCCUCCAGCUUUGCCAGGUUCGGCUUUGUGACCUUGACAUGAGCUACACACCCAAACACACGCAGGUGAUUCACAUCAGGCUUGUAGCCGUGCCAUACCUCGAAAGGAGUCUGCCCGUCAACACUUUUCAUGGGCGAUCGGUUCAGCAAGUACACUGCGGUGGACACUGCUUCCCCCAGAAUUUUGCAGGCACCCCCAUCGCCUUCAUCAAGCUGCGCGCGGUGGAGACGAUCGUCUGAUUUCGGCGUUCCACAAUGCCGUUCUGUUGUGGCGAAUAUGGCGCCAUCAGUUGGCGCCCGAUCCCAUCAUCGGCGCAGUAUGCGGCGAAGGUGGCCACGGUGAACUCCCCACCGCGGUCCGUCCGGAGCAGACGCAGCCUGCGCCCGGUCUCCACUUCUGCUCCUGCCUUGAACCUCUUGAUCGCCUCUGCUGCCUGAUCCUUGGACUGAAGCAGAGUGAGCCACAUGUACCGGCUCUUGUCGUCGACCAGCAGCAAGAAGUAGCGCUUUCCUGCAUGUGUCGCCGGCGAUAUGGGGCCGCACAGGUCGCCGUGUACCAGGUCGAGCAGUUCCUCCGCCCGCCGCUUCGCCUUCAACGGGAACGAUGCGCGGCGCUGCUUCCCGACCAGACAGCCGUCGCAAAGUUGCUCGACGUGCUCGAUCCGGGGCAGCCCCCGUACCAUGCCGAGACGUCCAAGCUUCCUGAGCGCGUCGAAGUUCAGGUGGCCAUAUCAUGCGUGCCACCUCCAGGAGUCGUCAGUGUGCAUCGCUGCGAGGCACACUGGCUUGCGGAUGUCGAGGGCGAUGACGUACAGGCGAUUGCGCGCCCGCGGCACCCUUGCGAGGAGCCGUUGCUGUCGGUCGAACAGCUUCAGGGUGCCAUUGCGGAUGUCGACGUGGCAGCUGUUCUCGUCAAGCUGUCCCAAGCUCACGAUGUUGCUGCGAGGCGAGGGAUGUAGUACGCAUCAGUGAGCGCACGGUGAUCGCCGUUGUCGCAGGCGAACAUGAUCGUUCCUCUCCCCUUGAUCUCGACGACCGACCCGUCGCCAAACUUCACCGUGCCGCCAAUGCUGGUGUCCAGAUCGGCGAAGACAUCGCGCCGCCCGGUCAUGUGGUUGCUGGCGCCGGAGUCAAGGUUCCAGAUGUCGUCGUUGUGGUCUGCAGCGGUGAGGAGGACGUGUUCCUCCACGAGAACUAUGUGUGUGCCCACGUACUCGCCAGGGCCGCCGAUGGUGGCCAUCAUGAGAGCCGGCCCGUCGUCGUCGCUGAGGUUGCAUGCGCGCGCUAGGUGCAGCGCGGGCUUGUCUUCCUCCGCCACAGCCAGGUGUGCCUGCGGCUGUUGCUGCUUUCGUUCGCGACGAGGCUCGGGGCGGUCCCAGGAUAUGUGUCCUGCAAAUUUGUUGCAGUUGUAACACUUAAUCUCGGACAUGUCUCGCUUCCCGUUUCCUCCAUUGGAGCCGCGUCGAUCAUUGGCACGAUUCUCCUGCUUGCCGCGGCCACUUCCCUUUCCGCUGCCACCGUUGGAGCUGGAUCCCUGUCCCUGCUCCUUCUUUUUCCCACGGGCCAACCACUUCUCCUCUGUGGGCAGCAGCUGGGACCCCGUUGUAUCCGUGGUGCCGAUCGAGCACCUCUCAGCCGACGAGCGCAGCCGGCCGAUCAACUCCUCGACGGACAUGUCGUUGAGAUCGAGGAGAGUCUCGAUCCCACUGCGUCCCCGAGAGAUCGCAGGUUGUUGGUGAGGUUGGUGAUGCGCAUCCCGAAUGCGUCCAGCGUCUCGCCUUCCUUGAAGGCGAUCUGCUCGAACUCCUUCCGUAGUCGCUGCGUUGUGGCUUCCCGUGCACGACGCACGCCCAUGCGCAUCAUCUUGAUCGCCUCCCACGCGUCCGCCGCCGUCUCCUUCACCGCGAGGACGGGUACCAUCUCCGGAGGCAGCGCACGUAGCAGCGCAGAGAGCGCCGCCAUGUCCUCGCGGUCGCCUGGCUCGCCCAUGCCGGACACUGCCUCCCACAGGCCUUGGGCGCGCAGGUUGAUUUUCAUCACCAAUGCCCACUCAAUGUAGUUCGUGGCCGUGAGGGUGGGGUAGACUAUGUUGCUGCCGAAGUUCGUGCGCUCCUGCCCGACGCGCUCGUGGACAACAACCUCGUUGCCGCCCCGCCGGAUGACGCUCCGCCCACGGCUGCGCUCCCGUGGCGGUGACCUCCUCGUUGCUGCUUCCCCUCUUGCGCCGCCUCCCGCCAUCUCCAUGGGCGUCGCCGGCGUACGUCCAUCGUCGCCGUUGGACAUGGCCGGCAGGAUCGAAGGAAGGCUCUGAUGCCACUGUUAGACAGAGAGCGACAGAGAGGGACACAAGUGUUUUGUGCUGAUGUAAGGCUAUGCAGCGUUUUUCUCUCGUUCAUUGCUAAAUAAUCAAAACUGAAGAUAACAGAAAGAGGGUCAUGCCUGAGCUAUCCGGCCGCGCCAUCCCACGUGCAGCUCGCCACGCCCUUGAUCGCCGCCAUGCAUGCCUGAUUCAUGCCAUCCCACGAAUCGUGCAAAGCUACCUAGUCUACCUAGCUGCUAAGGAACCGGUCAAGGCACGAACACCCUGGUGCUCUCACCGUUCAUUCUCUGAACCUGAAACAGAAACGAUAACUAACAGCGACAGGAUUACAAUGUCAACACUCCACUCAUACCACUUCACGGGAGAGAGAGAGAGAGGGGGGUUGACAGAGGGUCCCACCCAUCAGGGUUAAAGAGAGGAAGAGGGAAACAAUGCACAGCGUCUCUUUCGUGGGUAGUUCUUCAUCGAGGAGACCAUGGUGGUCGCUAGAGAGAGGGGGAAUGGAUCCAACAUGUCCUCGCGAUCACGUACAUACCCAAAAUGACGACUAAGGUGGACGGAUGGCAUCGAAAUGAUCAUCUCCAAAGGCGGAGGUGGAGGAGCUGGUCGGAAUUGGGGAAGAUGGUGCCAAUCCAAUGAACUAGCGGAAUCGUUGUGCUGAGGAGGUCACCACAAGCAUGCCUAAGGCGGAGGGCGGAGACAAGGGGCACCGGAGUGGGUGGACAGCUGAGGGACAUUCGCGGCCAACUUAGGCGAGGAUCAGAGGCUGGACGCCCUCUCGACCCUUCCCCGAGUUGCGGUGAUCAAUUUGUGGCCAGGUGAAGAGGAGAAGAUAGCUAGAACAACUCGGGGGUGUCUCUAUUUAUAGAUGGUU
rnacentral:lncRNA from 1 species